UUUACCGCUUCUUCCUACUUUAAAACAGUUGAUUAGUUCAGCAGUUCUAGAGAUAAAUUAAAAUGGAGCUGGAUAUGGAACGAACGCCAGAUCUGGUCUGAUCUGAUGUUUUUGGCGAUCGAAGACCGCGUCCAACUCAUUUGUUUUCUUUUGGAGCUCCGGGGAUUUUGAGGCGAUUGGUCUGGCGACAUUGACUUAGUCAACCUUCACAAUUUCUUCAUCCUUUUGAGCAGUUUUCUCUAGGGUUUCAACUCUCAUGGGUGUCUGAUUAAUCUAUUGAUUAACUCUAGUUCUUGAACUAUCUUUUUGAUUAUUCUUCUCUCUUUUCUUAGCCUUUUAUUUUGAUUUGAUAUGACCUAUUUUUUUGAUAAUUUCUCUCCGUUCUCUUCUCUUUACAAUUAGUUGGUUGAUUCCUUCAAUACUUGUUUUAUAAUUGUUAUGUGUUUCUCAAUUCCUCUGAUUUGAUCUGUUAAUCUUUGGUUUUUCUAAUUUUGUAGUUUACCUAAUUUUUUAGUUUUCUUCUCUCUAUUUUCAGGUUUGGUCAUGGGUUCAGGUGGGUUGCAGACAUAGAGUUCCAUAGAUAUCAUCAUGAGAUUUUGGUUCAAGGCUUUGAGUGUGGGAGAAGAUCUAAGUUUUUAAUCGGGAAGAUUGGGCUCUGAACUUUCUGGAAAUGAUGAUUCAAAUGUGUUCUUGUCAACUUCUUGUACUGUUUUCUCUCAAUUGUAUUCUCUUCUUCUGGGGAGAUUUUUAAUUCUUAUUCUGAGGUGAGCUAUUCUUCAGACUUAUUUGUAAAUUGUGAUUCUGACUUUGAUGCUUUGAGCAAUCCAGCUGCUGGAGAUUGUAAUGGUAAUGAAUUUGUUCUAGAACCUACUCAGUUAGUUUCACUCCCUCUUGAACCCGUGGUUACUGAUGAUGAAUUUGAGAAAGAAAUAAAUCUCAUGUUGGUUGAUUCUGUGGACUCUGUGGAUGUUGAACCUGCUCCAGCCCAUGACCAUGUAAUGGAACCGUGGAAUUCUCCAGGGCCGGACGAUUUUCCGGAAGGUUUUUUCAGAGAUAAUUGGGACAUCGUUUCUGGUCAGGUAAUUGAGCAUAUUCAAAAAAAUUUAAAACUAAGUUCUUGGUGAAACAACUUAAUUAUUCCUUCAUAGAUCUUAUCCCUAAGGUAAAUAAUCCGUCUUCUCCGCAUGAUUUUCGUCUUAUUAGUUUGGCAAGCACUGUUUACAAAAUCAUAUCAAUAAUUUUAACAAAUCGGCUCAAGCCUUCGCUAGAUUCUCUUAUAUCCCCCUUUCAAUCAGCUUUUAUUUCAAAUAGGCAAAUACAAGAUAAUAUUAUUAUAAGUCAUGAAAUCUUGCAUUCUUUUAAAAAACAGAAAAAGAGAGCUAAGAAUAGAUAUAUGGCUAUUAAGCUUGAUUUAUCAAAAGCUUUCGAUAGAUUAGAAUGGUCCUUUAUUAUUGUUGUUUUUAAGAAGCUAGGUUUCUCUGAUGUUUGGUGUCAGUUAAAUCUUCAAUGUAUUAGUACGGUUUCUUAUUCUGUCCUUAUAAAUGGUUCACCUGGAGUGCGACGCCCCAAUUACUAAACCUGCUUAUCUAACAGUAUUACAACCUAACUGAAGGAUCAAUUCCAGAUUGGAGAUCUUAAGAAUCUUAAUUGCAUAGAGUUAACAAAAACCAAACUUAACCCAACACUCUGAUAUUAAUGAAUGAAGAACUCUCAAGUGAUAUUAAUAUAUUAGUGUGUUGUUUUACAAUAAAUGAAGAGUACACAUACUAAAAAGAUACAUAAAUGUAACACAAUUUCGGUAAUGCUUUAAACUAUGAAAAUGGAUAUCUUCACUGCAUCAUUUCUUCUGGUAACUGAAACUGAAGUGGGAGCGAGUGAGCACAUCAUCCCAAAAGGGUGCUCAAUGAAAACGUAUAACUCUCGAGUAAUCACUAACAUGCUUCGCAGUUCUAAAAGAAUAUAACGUGAAAGAAACAAGAAUAAACUAAUCAUUCAGCUAUUCAUGCAUCAUGAAGCAAGUGUCACUCUAACCUCGCCAAACUCAUUGGAGAAGACGAUGCGAGGGCAACCCUAAUCAAUAAU